ACCUACACUCCCUCUCUUCUUUGUUGUGGUCAUUACAUCACUACACUCCCUCUCUUCUUUGUUGUGGUCAUUACAUCACCACACUCCCUCUUCUUUGUUGUGGUCAUUACAUCACUACACUCCCUCUCUUCUUUGUUGUGGUCAUUACAUCACUACACUCCCUCUCUUCUUUGUUGUGGUCAUUACAUCACCACACUCUCUCUUCUGUUUGGUCAUCAUCUCCCACACUCCUCUCUUCUUUGUUGUGGUCAUUACACCUCCACACUCCCUCUCUUCUUUGUUGUGG
rnacentral:lncRNA from 1 species